rnacentral:rRNA from 1 species
GAGUUUGAUCCUGGCUCAGAACGAACGCUGGCGGCACGCCUAACACAUGCAAGUCGAGCGCACCUUCGGGUGAGCGGCGGACGGGUUAGUAACGCGUGGGAACAUACCCUUUUCUACGGAAUAGCCUCGGGAAACUGAGAGUAAUACCGUAUACGCCCCUCGGGGGAAAGAUUUAUCGGUGAAGGAUUGGCCCGCGUCUGAUUAGAUAGUUGGUGGGGUAAUGGCCUACCAAGUCGACGAUCAGUAGCCGGUUUGAGAGGAUGAUCAGCAACACUGGGACUGAGACACGGCCCAGACUCCUACGGGAGGCAGCAGUGGGGAAUCUUAGACAAUGGGCGCAAGCCUGAUCUAGCCAUGCCGCGUGUGUGAUGAAGGUCUUAGGAUCGUAAAGCACUUUCGCCAGGGAUGAUAAUGACAGUACCUGGUAAAGAAACCCCGGCUAACUCCGUGCCAGCAGCCGCGGUAAUACGGAGGGGGUUAGCGUUGUUCGGAAUUACUGGGCGUAAAGCGUACGUAGGCGGAUCAGAAAGUUGGGGGUGAAAUCCCGGGGCUCAACCCCGGAACUGCCUCCAAAACUCCUGGUCUUGAGUUCGAGAGAGGUGAGUGGAAUUCCAAGUGUAGAGGUGAAAUUCGUAGAUAUUUGGAGGAACACCAGUGGCGAAGGCGGCUCACUGGCUCGAUACUGACGCUGAGGUACGAAAGUGUGGGGAGCAAACAGGAUUAGAUACCCUGGUAGUCCACACCGUAAACGAUGUCGACCAGCCGUUGGGUGCCUAGCGCACUUUGUGGCGAAGUUAACGCGAUAAGUCGACCGCCUGGGGAGUACGGCCGCAAGGUUAAAACUCAAAUGAAUUGACGGGGGCCCGCACAAGCGGUGGAGCAUGUGGUUUAAUUCGAUGCAACGCGAAGAACCUUACCUACUCUUGACAUCCUGCGAAUUUGGUAGAGAUACCUUAGUGCCUUCGGGAGCGCAGAGACAGGUGCUGCAUGGCUGUCGUCAGCUCGUGUCGUGAGAUGUUCGGUUAAGUCCGGCAACGAGCGCAACCCACAUCCUUAGUUGCCAGCAGUUCGGCUGGGCACUCUAAGGAAACUGCCCGUGAUAAGCGGGAGGAAGGUGUGGAUGACGUCAAGUCCUCAUGGCCCUUACGGGUUGGGCUACACACGUGCUACAAUGGCAGUGACAAUGGGUUAAUCCCCAAAAGCUGUCUCAGUUCGGAUUGGGGUCUGCAACUCGACCCCAUGAAGUCGGAAUCGCUAGUAAUCGUGGAACAGCAUGCCACGGUGAAUACGUUCCCGGGCCUUGUACACACCGCCCGUCACACCAUGGGAGUGGGUUGCAAAAGAAGUGGCUAGUCUAACCUUCGGGAGGACGGUCACCACUUUGUGAUUCAUGACUGGGGUGAAGUCGUAACAAGGUAACCC